AAUGCAUCGGAACGUGCCCAGUCGUGGGGGAUAACGCAGCGAAAGCUGCGCUAAUACCGCAUACGAUCUAUGGAUGAACGCGGGGGACCGUAAGGCCUCGCGCGAUUGGAGCGGCCGAUGUCAGAUUAGGUAGUUGGUGGGGUAAAGGCUCACCAAGCCAACGAUCUGUAGCUGGUCUGAGAGGACGACCAGCCACACUGGGACUGAGACACGGCCCAGACUCCUACGGGAGGCAGCAGUGGGGAAUUUUGGACAAUGGGCGCAAGCCUGAUCCAGCAAUGCCGCGUGCAGGAAGAAGGCCUUCGGGUUGUAAACUGCUUUUGUACGGAACGAAAAGGCUCUGGUUAAUACCUGGGGCCCAUGACGGUACCGUAAGAAUAAGCACCGGCUAACUACGUGCCAGCAGCCGCGGUAAUACGUAGGGUGCAAGCGUUAAUCGGAAUUACUGGGCGUAAAGCGUGCGCAGGCGGUUUUGUAAGACAGGCGUGAAAUCCCCGGGCUUAACCUGGGAAUUGCGCUUGUGACUGCAAGGCUGGAGUGCGGCAGAGGGGGAUGGAAUUCCGCGUGUAGCAGUGAAAUGCGUAGAUAUGCGGAGG
rnacentral:rRNA from 1 species